rnacentral:rRNA from 1 species
AGUGAACGCUGGCGGCAGGCCUAAUACAUGCAAGUCGAACGGCAGCACAGUGGAGCUUGCUCCAUGGGUGGCGAGUGGCGGACGGGUGAGGAAUACAUGGGAAUCUGCCCAGUCGUGGGGGAUAACGUAUGGAAACGUACGCUAAUACCGCAUGCGCCCUUCGGGGAAAGUCGGGGACCGCAAGGCCUGACGCGAUUGGAUGAGCCCAUGUACGAUUAGCUAGUUGGCGGGUAACGGCCCACCAAGGCGACGAUCGAUAGCUGGUCUGAGAGGAUGAUCAGCCACACUGGAACUGAGACACGGUCCAGACUCCUACGGGAGGCAGCAGUAGGGAAUAUUGGACAAUGGGCGCAAGCCUGAUCCAGCCAUGCCGCGUGAGUGAAGAAGGCCCUCGGGUUGUAAAGCUCUUUUGUUGGGGAAGAAAAAGGCAGUUGGUUAAUACCCGAUUGUUCUGACGGUACCCAAAGAAUAAGCACCGGCUAAACUUCGUGCCAGCAGCCG